GCUGUGACGUUAGCGACAGAAGAAGGACCGGCUAACUCCGUGCCAGCAGCCGCGGUAAUACGGAGGGUCCGAGCGUUAAUCGGAAUUACUGGGCGUAAAGCGCGCGUAGGUUGAUUGGUCAGUCAGAUGUGAAAGCCCAGGGCUCAACCUUGGAACUGCAUCUGAUACUGCCAGUCUAGAAUACAGUAGAGGGUAGUGGAAUUUCCUGUGUAGCGGUGAAAUGCGUAGAUAUAGGAAGGAACACCAGUGGCGAAGGCGACUACCUGGACUGAUAUUGACACUGAGGUGCGAAAGCGUGGGGAGCAAACAGGAUUAGAUACCCUGGUAGUCCACGCCGUAAACGAUGUCUACUAGCCGUUGGGAGACUUGAUCUCUUAGUGGCGAAGCUAACGCGAUAAGUAGACCGCCUGGGGAGUACGGCCGCAAGGUUAAAACUCAAAUGAAUUGACGGGGGCCCGCACAAGCGGUGGAGCAUGUGGUUUAAUUCGACGCAACGCGAAGAACCUUACCAACUCUUGACAUCCAGAGAAGUUACUAGAGAUAGUUUCGUGCCUUCGGGAACUCUGAGACAGGUGCUGCAUGGCUGUCGUCAGCUCGUGUUGUGAAAUGUUGGGUUAAGUCCCGUAACGAGCGCAACCCUUGUCCUUAUUUGCCAGCACGUAAUGGUGGGA
rnacentral:rRNA from 1 species